AUGCACGCUAGCUACAGGCUUCACACAUGCCAGUCGCGGGGCAGCAUGGGGGUUGCUUGCAAUCCCCGAUGGCGACCGGCGCACGGGUGAGUAACGCGUAUCCAACCUGCCCUUCACCACGGGAUAACCCGGCGAAAGUCGGACUAAUACCGUAUGUUGUCCAUUGACGGCAUCCGAUUUGGACGAAAGGUUUGGCGGUGAAGGAUGGGGAUGCGUCCGAUUAGCUGGACGGCGGGGUGACGGCCCACCGUGGCGACGAUCGGUAGGGGUUCUGAGAGGAAGGUCCCCCACACUGGAACUGAGACACGGUCCAGACUCCUACGGGAGGCAGCAGUGAGGAAUAUUGGUCAAUGGGCGUAAGCCUGAACCAGCCAAGUAGCGUGCAGGAUGACGGCCCUAUGGGUUGUAAACUGCUUUUAUGCGGGGAUAAAGUGGCCCACGUGUGGGUUUUUGCAGGUACCGCAUGAAUAAGGACCGGCUAAUUCCGUG
rnacentral:rRNA from 1 species